AAAUUCGUAUAGGUUUUAUAGAAGAUCGGAAGUUGAGUAGAGUAUUAACCAUGGCGUCUGAUAGCAAACCCAUCGACAUCGAUCCAAGGACCUGCUUCUACAAGUCCGAUUCCGUCUACUACAGCAAGUGAAAACUCAUUGCUCUCCCCUGCAACGAAUCCCUUGAUGUCACCACCUUCAUCUCCUCCCGUGCCCACAAUGGUAAGAUCGCUUUCAUCGACGCCUCCAUCGGUUGCUACCUCACCUUCCCGGAAGUCUGGCGUGCGGUUGAUUCCGUCACCUCCUGCCUAUCGGAGAUGGGUGUUCAAAAGGGCAACGUUGUCCUCCUUUCCC